UCGGCGAGGGAGCUAGCGUUGUUCGGAAUUACUGGGCGUAAAGCGCACGUAGGCGGCUUUGUAAGUUAGAGGUGAAAGCCCGGGGCUCAACCCCGGAAUUGCCUUUAAGACUGCAUCGCUUGAAUCCGGGAGAGGAGAGUGGAAUUCCUGGUGUAGCGGUGAAAUGCGCAGAUAUCAGGAAGAACACCCGUGGCGAAGGCGGCUCUCUGGGACGGUACUGACGCUGAGACGCGAAAGCGUGGGGAGCGAACAGG
rnacentral:rRNA from 1 species